rnacentral:lncRNA from 1 species
GAGAGACGGGUCUCACGACGUUGCUCAGGCUAGUCUCGAACUCCCGGGCUCAAGCAAACCUCAGCCUUCAGAGUAGCUGGGACUACAGGUGCCUACUACUACACUCAGCUUGUUUUAAUUUUUUUAAUUUUUCUUUUUGUUCUUUUGAAGACCUCUAAGAAAUAAGGAAGUAUCAGUCUUUACAAAUAACUACAAAUAACAAAUAAGGAAAUAUCAAUCUUUACAAAAAAAAGAAAGCAAAAAACUAAAACUGGAUCCAAUUAGCACUGAUAGUAUAUCAAGGGUUAAUGUUGCUUUCCUAAAAAGUUAAGUAGCAAUUUAUACUUAUCAGCAGGUUUUCCUAGAUAACUCAUUAUUUUCAACAGGCAAUGGAAAUAUUAUAAUGUUUUUCUUAAAGAAUUUUUUUUGUCUAAAAGUAAUCUCAUUUAAUGGAAAGAUAUGAUAAAGCAAAUAAAAUGUUGGAAAAAGUAAUCCCUUUCAAAUAUAAAUAUAAAAUAGGAAAAGUACAAAAUUAUUUUUGUACUCUUCUGCACAGGAAAAGUGUGCAGAAAAGAGUUUUAAAAAGCAAGCCUGCAGCUGGGCGCAGUGGCUCACGCCUGUAAUCCCAGGACUUUGGGAGGCUGAGGCAGGCGGAUGACUUAUGGUCAGGAGUUCGAGACCAGCCUGGUCAACAUAUAGAGACGAGGUUUCACUGUGUUAGCCAGGAUGGUCUCGAUCUCCUGACCUCAUGAUACGCCUGCCUCGGCCUCCCAAAGUUCUGGGAUUACAGGCGUGAGCCACCGCGC